rnacentral:rRNA from 1 species
UACAGAGGUCUCAAGCGUUGUUCGGAUUCAUUGGGUGUAAAGGGUGCGUAGGCGGCGCGGUAAGUCGGGUGUGAAAUUUCGAGGCUUAACUUCGAAACUGCAUUCGAUACUGCCGUGCUUGAGGACUGGAGAGGAGACUGGAAUUUACGGUGUAGCGGUGAAAUGCGUAGAUAUCGUAAGGAAGACCAGUGGCGAAGGCGGGUCUCUGGACAGUUCCUGACGCUGAGGCACGAAGGCCAGGGGAGCAAACAGG